UCCUGGCUCAGAUUGAACGCUGGCGGCAGGCCUAACACAUGCAAGUCGAACGGUAACAGGAAGAAGCUUGCUUCUUUGCUGACGAGUGGCGGACGGGUGAGUAAUGUCUGGGAAACUGCCUGAUGGAGGGGGAUAACUACUGGAAACGGUAGCUAAUACCGCAUAACGUCGCAAGACCAAAGAGGGGGGACCUUCGGGCCUCUUGCCAUCGGAUGUGCCCAGAUGGGAUUAGCUAGUAGGUGGGGUAACGGCUCACCUAGGCGACGAUCCCUAGCUGGUCUGAGAGGAUGACCAGCCACACUGGAACUGAGACACGGUCCAGACUCCUACGGGAGGCAGCAGUGGGGAAUAUUGCACAAUGGGCGCAAGCCUGAUGCAGCCAUGCCGCGUGUAUGAAGAAGGCCUUCGGGUUGUAAAGUACUUUCAGCGGGGAGGAAGGGAGUAAAGUUAAUACCUUUGCUCAUUGACGUUACCCGCAGAAGAAGCACCGGCUAACUCCGUG
rnacentral:rRNA from 1 species